rnacentral:rRNA from 1 species
AGCGAACGCUGGCGGCAGGCCUAACACAUGCAAGUCGAACGAAGUCUUCGGACUUAGUGGCGGACGGGUGAGUAACACGUGGGAACGUACCUUUUGGUUCGGAACAACUCAGGGAAACUUGAGCUAAUACCGGAUGAGCCCUUAGGGGGAAAGAUUUAUCGCAGAAAGAGCGGCCCGCGUUAGAUUAGCUAGUUGGUGAGGUAAAGGCUCACCAAGGCUACGAUCUAUAGCUGGUCUGAAAGGAUGAUCAGCCACACUGGGACUGAGACACGGCCCAGACUCCUACGGGAGGCAGCAGUGGGGAAUCUUGCGCAAUGGGCGAAAGCCUGACGCAGCUAUGCCGCGUGAAUGAUGAAGGUCUUAGGAUUGUAAAAUUCUUUUACCAGGGACGAUAAUGACGGUACCUGGAGAAAAAGCCCCGGCUAACUUCGUGCCAGCCGCCGCGGUAAGAC